rnacentral:rRNA from 1 species
GACGUAGGUGGCGAACGUUAUCCGGAAUUAUUGGGCGUAAAGGGUGCGUAGGCGGCAUGAUAAGUUAUUGGCGGCAAAUCGAGGCUCAACCUCGUGGAAACUGAUAAUACUGUCUUGCUUGAGUGCGGAAGAGGUUAACGGAACUCCAUGUGGAGCGGUAAAAUGUGUAGAUAUAUGGAAGAACAUCAAUAACGGCGAAGGCAGUUAACUAUUCUGUUACUGACGUUGAGGCACGAAAGCGUGGGGAGCAAAAAGG